CAGUAACGGCGAGUGAAGAGGGAAAAGCUCAAAUUUUGAAUCUGGUGCCUUUUGGCAUCCGAAUUGUAAUCUAGAGAAGUGUUUUCUGCGUUGGACCGUGCACAAGUUCCCUGGAACGGGGCAUCAUAGAGGGUGAGAAUCCCGUAUAUGGCAUGGACUACCAAUGCUCUGUGAUACACUCUCAACGAGUCGAGUUGUUUGGGAAUGCAGCUCAAAAUGGGUGGUAAAUUCCAUCUAAAGCUAAAUAUUGGCGAGAGACCGAUAGCGAACAAGUACCGUGAGGGAAAGAUGAAAAGCACUUUGGAAAGAGAGUGAAACAGUACGUGAAAUUGUUGAAAGGGA
rnacentral:rRNA from 1 species